UACGGAGGGGGCUAGCGUUGUUCGGAAUUACUGGGCGUAAAGCGCACGUAGGCGGCUUUGCAAGUUAGAGGUGAAAGCCCGGGGCUCAACUCCGGAAUUGCCUUUAAAACUGCAUCGCUAGAAUUGUGGAGAGGUAAGUGGAAUUCCGAGUGUAGAGGUGAAAUGCGUAGAUAUCAGGAGGAACACCGAUGGCGAAGGCAGGUCUCUGGGCUGACACUGACGCUCAUGCACGAAAGCGUGGGGAGCAAACAGG
rnacentral:rRNA from 1 species